GGGUUGUGAGGUUAAGCGACUAAGCGUACACGGUGGAUGCCCUGGCAGUCAGAGGCGAUGAAGGACGUGCUAAUCUGCGAAAAGCGCCGGCGAGGUGAUAUGAACCUUUGACCCGGCGAUGUCCGAAUGGGGAAACCCAGUGUGAUUCGUCACACUAUCGUUAACUGAAUACAUAGGUUAACGAGGCGAACCGGGGGAACUGAAACAUCUAAGUACCCCGAGGAAAAGAAAUCAACCGAGAUUCCCCCAGUAGCGGCGAGCGAACGGGGAGCAGCCCAGAGUCUGAAUCAGCUUGUGUGUUAGUGGAAGCGUCUGGAAAGUCGCACGGUACAGGGUGACAGUCCCGUACACGAAAAUGCACAGGUUGUGAACUCGAAGAGUAGGGCGGGACACGUGGUAUCCUGUCUGAAUAUGGGGGGACCAUCCUCCAAGGCUAAAUACUCCUGACUGACCGAUAGUGAACCAGUACCGUGAGGGAAAGGCGAAAAGAACCCCGGCGAGGGGAGUGAAAAAGAACCUGAAACCGUGUACGUACAAGCAGUGGGAGCACCUUCGUGGUGUGACUGCGUACCUUUUGUAUAAUGGGUCAGCGACUUAUAUUCUGUAGCAAGGUUAACCGUAUAGGGGAGCCGAAGGGAAACCGAGUCUUAACUGGGCGUUAAGUUGCAGGGUAUAGACCCGAAACCCGGUGAUCUAGCCAUGGGCAGGUUGAAGGUUGGGUAACACUAACUGGAGGACCGAACCGACUAAUGUUGAAAAAUUAGCGGAUGACUUGUGGCUGGGGGUGAAAGGCCAAUCAAACCGGGAGAUAGCUGGUUCUCCCCGAAAGCUAUUUAGGUAGCGCCUCGUGAACUCAUCUUCGGGGGUAGAGCACUGUUUCGGCUAGGGGGCCAUCCCGGCUUACCAACCCGAUGCAAACUACGAAUACCGAAGAAUGUUAUCACGGGAGACACACGGCGGGUGCUAACGUCCGUCGUGAAGAGGGAAACAACCCAGACCGCCAGCUAAGGUCCCAAAGUCAUGGUUAAGUGGGAAACGAUGUGGGAAGGCACAGACAGCCAGGAUGUUGGCUUAGAAGCAGCCAUCAUUUAAAGAAAGCGUAAUAGCUCACUGGUCGAGUCGGCCUGCGCGGAAGAUGUAACGGGGCUAAACCAUGCACCGAAGCUGCGGCAGCGACGCUUAUGCGUUGUUGGGUAGGGGAGCGUUCUGUAAGCCGUUGAAGGUGGCCUGUGAGGGUUGCUGGAGGUAUCAGAAGUGCGAAUGCUGACAUAAGUAACGAUAAAGCGGGUGAAAAGCCCGCUCGCCGGAAGACCAAGGGUUCCUGUCCAACGUUAAUCGGGGCAGGGUGAGUCGACCCCUAAGGCGAGGCCGAAAGGCGUAGUCGAUGGGAAACAGGUUAAUAUUCCUGUACUUGGUGUUACUGCGAAGGGGGGACGGAGAAGGCUAUGUUAGCCGGGCGACGGUUGUCCCGGUUUAAGCAUGUAGGCGGAACGAUUAGGUAAAUCCGGUCGUUUAUUAACGCUGAGGUGUGAUGACGAGGCACUACGGUGCUGAAGUAACAAAUGCCCUGCUUCCAGGAAAAGCCUCUAAGCAUCAGGUAACAUCAAAUCGUACCCCAAACCGACACAGGUGGUCAGGUAGAGAAUACCAAGGCGCUUGAGAGAACUCGGGUGAAGGAACUAGGCAAAAUGGUGCCGUAACUUCGGGAGAAGGCACGCUGAUAUGUAGGUGAAGCCCCUGCGGGUGGAGCUGAAAUCAGUCGAAGAUACCAGCUGGCUGCAACUGUUUAUUAAAAACACAGCACUGUGCAAACACGAAAGUGGACGUAUACGGUGUGACGCCUGCCCGGUGCCGGAAGGUUAAUUGAUGGGGUUAGCGGUAACGCGAAGCUCUUGAUCGAAGCCCCGGUAAACGGCGGCCGUAACUAUAACGGUCCUAAGGUAGCGAAAUUCCUUGUCGGGUAAGUUCCGACCUGCACGAAUGGCGUAAUGAUGGCCAGGCUGUCUCCACCCGAGACUCAGUGAAAUUGAACUCGCUGUGAAGAUGCAGUGUACCCGCGGCAAGACGGAAAGACCCCGUGAACCUUUACUAUAGCUUGACACUGAACACUGGUCCUUGAUGUGUAGGAUAGGUGGGAGGCUUUGAAGUGUGGACGCCAGUCUGCAUGGAGCCGUCCUUGAAAUACCACCCUUUAAUGGCUGGUGUUCUAACGUAGACCCGUAAUCCGGGUUGCGGACAGUGUCUGGUGGGUAGUUUGACUGAGGCGGUCUCCUCCCAAAGAGUAACGGAGGAGCACGAAGGUUAGCUAAUCCUGGUCGGACAUCAGGAGGUUAGUGCAAUGGCAUAAGCUAGCUUGACUGCGAGAGUGACGGCUCGAGCAGGUGCGAAAGCAGGUCAUAGUGAUCCGGUGGUUCUGAAUGGAAGGGCCAUCGCUCAACGGAUAAAAGGUACUCCGGGGAUAACAGGCUGAUACCGCCCAAGAGUUCAUAUCGACGGCGGUGUUUGGCACCUCGAUGUCGGCUCAUCACAUCCUGGGGCUGAAGUAGGUCCCAAGGGUAUGGCUGUUCGCCAUUUAAAGUGGUACGCGAGCUGGGUUUAGAACGUCGUGAGACAGUUCGGUCCCUAUCUGCCGUGGGCGCUGGAGAAUUGAGGGGGGCUGCUCCUAGUACGAGAGGACCGGAGUGGACGCAUCACUGGUGUUCGGGUUGUCAUGCCAAUGGCACUGCCCGGUAGCUAAAUGCGGAAAAGAUAAGUGCUGAAAGCAUCUAAGCACGAAACUUGCCCCGAGAUGAGUUCUCCCUGAGACUUUAAGUCUCCUGAAGGAACGUUGAAGACGACGACGUUGAUAGGUCGGGUGUGUAAGCGCAGCGAUGCGUUGAGCUAACCGAUACUAAUGAACCGUGAGGCUUAACCUUACAACGCCGAAG
rnacentral:rRNA from 1 species